rnacentral:rRNA from 1 species
GAUGAACGCUGGCGGCGUGCCUAAUACAUGCAAGUCGAGCGAACAGACGAGGAGCUUGCUCCUCUGACGUUAGCGGCGGACGGGUGAGUAACACGUGGAUAACCUACCUAUAAGACUGGGAUAAAUUCGGGAAACCGGAGCUAAUACCGGAUAAUAUAUUGAACCGCAUGGUUCAAUAGUGAAAGACGGUUUUGCUGUCACUGAUAGAUGGAUCCGCGCCGCAUUAGCUAGUUGGUAAGGUAACGGCUUACCAAGGCGACGAUGCGUAGCCGACCUGAGAGGGUGAUCGGCCACACUGGAACUGAGACACGGUCCAGACUCCUACGGGAGGCAGCAGUAGGGAAUCUUCCGCAAUGGGCGAAAGCCUGACGGAGCAACGCCGCGUGAGUGAUGAAGGUCUUCGGAUCGUAAAACUCUGUUAUUAGGGAAGAACAAAUGUGUAAGUAACUAUGCACGUCUUGACGGUACCUAAUCAGAAAGCCACGGCUAACUACGUG